CAGUCGCCGCGGGAACACGUAGGGCGCAAGCGUUGUCCGGAAUUAUUGGGCGUAAAGAGCUCGUAGGCGGUCUGUCGCGUCUGGUGUGAAAUCCCGAGGCUCAACCUCGGGCUUGCAUCGGGUACGGGCAGACUAGAGUGCGGUAGGGGAGACUGGAAUUCCUGGUGUAGCGGUGGAAUGCGCAGAUAUCAGGAGGAACACCGAUGGCGAAGGCAGGUCUCUGGGCCGCAACUGACGCUGAGGAGCGAAAGCAUGGGGAGCGAACAGGAUUAGAUACCCGGGUAGUCCCUGUCUCUUAUAC
rnacentral:rRNA from 1 species